CCUACGGGGGGCUGCAGUGGGGAAUAUUGGACAAUGGGCGAAAGCCUGAUCCAGCCAUGCCGCGUGUGUGAAGAAGGCCUUCGGGUUGUAAAGCACUUUCAGUGGGGAAGAAAGCCUUGGGGCUAAUACCCUCGAGGAAGGACAUCACCCACAGAAGAAGCACCGGCUAACUCCGUGCCAGCAGCCGCGGUAAUACGGAGGGUGCGAGCGUUAAUCGGAAUUACUGGGCGUAAAGCGCGCGUAGGCGGUCUGAUAAGCCGGUUGUGAAAGCCCCGGGCUCAACCUGGGAACGGCAUCCGGAACUGUCAGGCUAGAGUGCAGGAGAGGAAGGUAGAAUUCCCGGUGGAGCGGUGAAAUGCGUAGAGAUCGGGAGGAAUACCAGUGGCGAAGGCGGCCUUCUGGACUGACACUGACGCUGAGGUGCGAAAGCGUGGGUAGCAAACAGGAUGAGAUACCCGAGUAGUC
rnacentral:rRNA from 1 species